GACGAACGCUGGCGGCGUGCUUAACACAUGCAAGUCAAACGGAAAGGCCCUGCUUUUGUGGGGUGCUCGAGUGGCGAACGGGUGAGUAACACGUGAGUAACCUGCCCUUGACUUUGGGAUAAUUUCAGGAAACUGGGGCUAAUACCGGAUAGGAGCUCCUGCUGCAUGGUGGGGGUUGGAAAGUUUCGGCGGUUGGGGAUGGACUCGCGGCUUAUCAGCUUGUUGGUGGGGUAGUGGCUUACCAAGGCUUUGACGGGUAGCCGGCCUGAGAGGGUGACCGGCCACAUUGGGACUGAGAUACGGCCCAGACUCCUACGGGAGGCAGCAGUGGGGAAUAUUGCACAAUGGGCGGAAGCCUGAUGCAGCAACGCCGCGUGCGGGAUGACGGCCUUCGGGUUGUAAACCGCUUUCGCCUGUGACGAAGCGUGAGUGACGGUAAUGGGUAAAGAAGCACCGGCUAACUACGUG
rnacentral:rRNA from 1 species